AAAAACCUGCACCCACGCGACCGCUUGCCCAUUGCCCUCCACAGAAAUCUUAUCCCCACCCCACGCGAGAUCUAUCCAGUUCCUUCCCCUGUCGCCGUUCUCUCUCUCCGCCUCUCUGAAUCCUCGACAUCCCGGCGACUACAGUUGAGGGCGCGGAGUCAUGCAAGCGGAGUGCUGCGUCCAUGGACAAACUCCACCCCCUUCUCAUUCCUGCAGUCAUGGAUGAACUCCAUCCCCUUCGUCACCCACACUUAGCCCUCUUUUUUCCCUCAACUGUUGAAGAAGUUGCAACCGGCCAUGAAAAAGUUGCGUCCACAGUGGGAGGUGCUGGAACCUGCCAGGGAAAAAGCUACAACCACAUCAAUUUGAGGUGCUGGAUUUGACAUGGUGGUGCAAGUCGAUGUCGGCGGUGAGCCCGAGACGGGGACCCUGGGAUGCGGCAACCAUGGCUAGAGGGCGCUGGAACCCUCCUCUGUUCAAGCUCUGCCGCAAUCAUGGCGAGCGGAGGUAGCCGAGGCAAGUGCCGGGCACGGCAGCGAGCGAGGGUGACGGGCGCGGUGGCGCGGUGGCAACCAAGCAUGGGAAGACAAGGACAAGCGCGGGGAGCCGGCGAGCGCAUGGGAUCUGGCAUGUGCGCACGCUGCCCUUUUUUUCGUGUUUCCUGUGCGUGUUUGACCUUUGAAACGAAGUAAUCAAACGGUUGAGAAAGGAUGUAUCGGACGCUUGGCAGCCGACCGGCCCAAAUUUGGGCUGGCGCGCCAGCGCCUAUCAGCGCCCUUUUCUUUACGCGAGACCAUCCAUCGUUGAAAGAAGACCAAAGAAAUUGGGCUACAGGCUCCUGCCCUCAUGCACGCCGCCGCCAAAAUCCCAUGACUACCGCGAGCUCUCCUACCCUCACGCACGCAGCCGCCGUCGCUCUCAGGUUCAGCCGAGCACUGCAUGAUUUCUUCGUCCUGCAUAAGGAUAACGUCAGGGAUCCCCUGCCAUGGAUGCAAGAUUGGAACCAUGUUAAGAUCUUCUAUGGGAGAGGAAGAUAUGCGCAUGGUGACCAAGUAAAGCAGAAGCAACAAGACGACGAGAAACCUGGUAUGCAUGUGGACGGCCGCGACACUGGGACGUACGUGUUUGGUGUACGUACUUGAUGAGUAACAUUGCUUAUUGGUAAUUGAUGAGCUCCUGGUGCUAUCUCUUACUAUCUGAAAGAUUGUGUGAAGAAAAUUAAGCUGGCCGUGCUACAACAUGGAUACCAUGGAAUUCACGCAGAGCUCGCUCGCUUUCCUUUAGGUAUAGGAUAGGGUGAUUGGGAGAAAGGCAGGCGAAAAUCGAGCAGGUGUCUACGGGGCCAUGCAGCCAUCGAGCCGAGCGGGGUAGUGCCUUGCGAGCAGGAGAGAAGGCCGUACAAUUCUUCGCAAGGACAUGGUUGAUGGAGCAGUCAGCAGACAAUGCAUAGUAGAUCCUGUUUUGUUAAGAUCUUGGUCAUGUUUUGUUAAGAUCUUCUCUGGGAGAGGAAGAUGCCCAUAGUGACCAAAGUAAGGCAGAAGCAAAGACGACGAGAAACCUGGCAUGCACGUGGACGGCUGCGAGGCUGCGACGCUGAGACGUAUGUGUUCGGUGUACGUACUUGAUGAGUAACAUUGUCUAUUAUACUGGUCGUUCUGCAGGCAUAGGCCUUUCAUGUACGCCUGUACUCGAUUCAUGAUGCAAAAUUGUUUAGGUCUGUCCAGCUGGGCAGUGAGAUUUGCGUGAA